AACAAACGCUGGCGGCGUGCCUAACACAUGCAAGUCGUACGAGAAAGGGUCCUUCGGGACCUGAGUAAAGUGGCGCACGGGUGAGUAACGCGUGGAUAAUCUGCCCUUUAGUUGGGAAUAACGUACCGAAAGGUGCGCUAAUACCGAAUAAUACUGCAUAACUACUGUUGUGUAGUCAAAGAAGGCCUCUGUUUACAAGCUUUUGCUGAAGGAUGAGUCCGCGUACCAUUAGCUAGUUGGUAGGGUAAUGGCCUACCAAGGCGACGAUGGUUAGCUGGUCUGAGAGGAUGAUCAGCCACACUGGAACUGAGACACGGUCCAGACUCCUACGGGAGGCAG
rnacentral:rRNA from 1 species